CUCAGUUGGGCUCGUGGCACUAUCGAGGUGGUCGGCGGCACUCUCCUCCACGCUUACCUUCCCUCAGUCAGUGCCAAACUAAUUAAUUACCUGGUUUUUGUAUUUUCACUGACUAGCUGACGGACUGACUCACUCACUGACUCACUCACUGACUCACUCACUCAGUUUUGUCGCGGCUCCGUCAGUGAAUCACCAACCACCACCACCACCACCAGCAGUGUUAUGAGUGUCCAGACUGUGGUGAAGAAGCUACAUACACUCACAUAGACGCUUCAGUAAAAAUAGUUAACGGUGAAGGAGGUGUUGGUGGGUGUGAGCAGCUGGCUGGUGGAGAUAGUGUUUACUGCAGCAGUGGGGGGUGAUAGUGUUUUAAUAAUUAUACAGUACUACAGAGUGACUUCUGCAGGCCACCACCCACAGCCACCACCACCCACAGCCACUACUACCACUACCCACAGCCACUACUACCACCACCCACAGCCACUACCACCACCACCCACAGCCACUACCACCAGCAGCAGCCUUGGGUUAGCUAAACAGCGCGGUGCCGUAAUUGCGUUAACGGGUAGUAAGAGUGUGGGAGGAGUGUAGUAGCCAUGGGGGAGGAGUGGACGCUACCCCCUUCCAGCACCACACCCCGGAGGUGACGGCCUGUUGUGUCAUCGUCAACACUCUGCCAGACUGGUUAAAUGGUUCUUUGUGAACACGUGGACUCAUAAAUGGAUUGUGUGAGCACGUAGAAGGACCCACACAUGGCUCUGGUGAACACGAGUGUUGAUGGGUUGGUGGGGAGUGCGGCCAUUUUGGAUGAGAUGGAGCAGAGCGGCGGCGACUAUAACCCCCUCACGUCAGACCCGCCGACCAUGGGAGAUAACUCGACCUACAAGGAUUAUGGCAUAGCGGUGGUGUCGACCCUCUCCUUCUUCUUGGUGGUGUCCAUGGUGCUGGCCCUGGGAGGCAACGUGAUGGUGAUCAUCACCAUCGUCAGACACCGCGGCAUGCGCACCAGGACCAACCUCUUGCUGGCUAACCUGGCGGUGGCCGACAUCUUGGUGGCGGUGCUGGACAUGCCCAUCGCCCUCGUCACCAUCAUCAACGGCAACUGGGUGUUUGAUGACGUCUUCUGCUACUUCAACGGGUUCGCCGUGGGUCUGGGCCUCAUGCUCUCCGUCCACACCCUCAUGUGGAUCAGUAUUCACAAGUUCAUCUCCAUCACCCGGCCGUUCUCAAGGUCUGUGACGCCGGGGAAGAUCGUGAUGAUGAUCGUUGCAGCGUGGACUUGGACCAUCUUGUUCAACCUCACUCCCACACCUCUCAUUGGUUGGACUAAAUCAGUGUACAAGAAAGGAGCUUCACAGUGUGGCCCUCCCCCACCAAAAGCGAAGAUGCAGUUUGUCCACGCUGGCCUCAAUACCUCCGUCAACCUGGUCAUCCCCAUCAUCGUCAUGAGCUACUGUUACUACCGAAUCUUUAAGGAAGUCAGAGAUCAUCUUAGUAGGAUGAGAGACUUUGCUGAUGCAAGUAUGCGUUGCUCUCUGAUACAACAGAAGCGCAUCACAGAGACACUCUGUAUUGUGAUGUCGAUGUUUGUGUUGUUCUGGAUGCCCUACAUCGUGUAUUCUCUCUCUCUUGUGUUCCUCGGCCAAGAGAACGUUUUAGAAGUGUUCAACCCAAUAGGGUACUUAUUUGGUUACAUGAACUCAGCAUGUAACCCUAUUAUCUAUGCACUUCGCUCACCCUCAUUUCGUCGUGGCUUCAGUGAGAUCAUCUGCAGAAACCAGGGGGGUACACCAGCAUAUUCCUUAAGUGGUGGUUCCCUCAUCCAAGGACGGUCAACCAUUAGAAGAACGGUCACUGAUCACUCUGUUGUAUUUUCCGGGGAUGACAGAAACUUUAUAGAGUACAUGAACCUUCACAAUUUGGGGGACGAGAGAUACCCUGUGUUUGAGUGCAGCAUCCGUCCCUCACGGACACUCACACCCCAGUGUGCUGUAACACUAACAAAGGCAGUGCACUUUCCUCAAGAAUGAUCUUGAUUUAAAGAUCACUUUUAACUUUAGAAUUGAAAUUUUAAUAGAUGCCAUUACAGAUAGAUCACAAUAUGAUCGUGUCCCAGUGUCAAACCAGUAUGGAAGGAUGAUAGUGUCAUUCCGGCAGUCACUGGGGAGAACUGGAAACAAGAGCA
rnacentral:misc_RNA from 1 species